CUACGGGUCGCAGCAGUGAGGAGUAUUGCACAAUGGGGGGAACCCUGAUGCAGCAACGCCGCGUGGAGGAUGACGCAUUUCGGUGUAUAAACUCCUUUUAUGAGUCAAGAAAAUGACGGUAGCUCAUGAAUAAGCACCGGCUAACUCCGUGCCAGCAGCCGCGGUAAUACGGAGGGUGCAAGCGUUACUCGGAAUCACUGGGCGUAAAGGACGCGUAGGCGGGUUGUCAAGUCAGGUGUGAAAUCCUACAGCUUAACUGUAGAACUGCACUUGAAACUGGCAGCCUAGAGUAUGGGAGGGGGAGAUGGAAUUAGUGGUGUAGGGGUAAAAUCCGUAGAUAUCACUAGGAAUACCUAAAGCGAAGGCGAUCUCCUGGAACAUUACUGACGCUAAGGCGUGAAAGCGUGGGGAGCAAACAGGAUUAGAUACCCUUGUAGUC
rnacentral:rRNA from 1 species